ACGAUGUUCCGCUGUCCCUUAGGAGAUAAGAGCAUUGG
rfam:Virgibacillus massiliensis genome assembly, contig: 000001